AAAGAAAGUAAGCAAGGGCGCAUGGCGGAUGCCUUGGCUCUCGGAGGCGAUGAAGGACGUGAUAAGCUGCGAUAAGCUCUGGGUAGGUGCAAAUAACCUUUGAUCCAGAGAUUUCCGAAUGGGACAACCCGGCAUUCUGAAGGAAUGUCAUCCAUCUUUGAUGGAAGCUAACGCAGGGAACUGAAACAUCUUAGUACCUGUAGGAAAAGAAAAUAAUAAUGAUUCCCCUAGUAGUGGCGAGCGAACGGGAAUAGCCCAAACCACCCAUGUUACGGCAUGUGUGGGGUUGUAGGACCACGAUGUCGCAAGACAUUUGAUGAGUAGAAUCCUCUGGAAAGUUGAACCAUAGACGGUGAUAGUCCGGUAUACGAAGUCAAAUUAAGCGUAGUGGUAUCCUGAGUAGCGCGGGACACGAGAAAUCUUGCGUGAAUCUGCCGGGACCAUCCGGUAAGGCUAAAUACUCCCGAGAGACCGAUAGCGAACCAGUACUGUGAAGGAAAGGUGAAAAGCACUUCGAAUAGAAGAGUGAAAUAGUCCCUGAAACCGUGCGCCUACAAGCGGUCGGAGCUGCUUAAGCAGUGACGGCGUGCCUUUUGCAUAAUGAACCUACGAGUUACUUUUUCCGGCAAGGUUAAGCAUCUUGAGAUGUGCAGCCGAAGCGAAAGCGAGUCUGAACAGGGCGUCGAGUCGGAAGGAGUAGACGCGAAACCAAGUGAUCUACCCUUGGUCAGGUUGAAGGUUAGGUAACACUAACUGGAGGACCGAACCGAUAAGCGUUGAAAAGCUUCCGGAUGAACUGAGGGUGGGGGUGAAAGGCUAAUCAAACUUGGAGAUAGCUCGUACUCCCCGAAAUGCAUUUAGGUGCAGCCUUGUGAGUUACUAAUGUGAGGUAGAGCGACUGAUAAGAUGCGAGGGCUUCACCGCCUAUCAAGUCUUGAUAAACUCCGAAUGCGCAUUAGUUCUAUCACAGGAGUGAGGGCAUGGGUGCUAAGGUCCAUGUCCUAAAGGAGAAGAAUCCAGACCAUCAGCUAAGGUCCCCAAAUAAACACUAAGUUGAACUAACGAAGUCAGAUUGCUAAGACAGCUAGGAUGUUGGCUUGGAAGCAGCCAUUCAUUUAAAGAGUGCGUAACAGCUCACUAGUCGAGGAGUUUGGCGUGGAUAAUAAUCGGGCAUUAAGUGUUUUACCGAAGCUAUGGGAUCAGUAAUGAUCGGUAGGGGAGCAUUCCACUCUGCGUCGAAGGUGAAGCGUGAGCUUUGCUGGAGCGUGUGGAAAAGCAAAUGUAGGUAUAAGUAACGAUAAAGGGGGUGAGAAACCCCCUCGCCGAAAGACUAAGGUUUCCUGAUCAACGCUAAUCGGAUCAGGGUUAGUCGGGUCCUAAGGCUCAGCCGAACGGUGAGGCCGAUGGCAGAACAGGUUAAUAUUCCUGUACUACCUUAAGGAGUGACGUGGAGACGGAGCAGUGACAGCGCCGCGGACUGACGGAAUAGUCCGUUGAAGGGUGUAGAUGUUGAUCAUCCCAGGCAAAUCCGGGAUGAGAGUCGAACCUGAUAGUAUGGAGCGUUCUUCGGAACAAUCCAAUAGUGCGUGUAAGCAUACUCCCAAGAAAAUCCGCUAAACUUAAUCCUUAAGGUACCCGUACCGCAAACGGACACACGUAGUCGGGUUGAAUAUACUAAGGCGCUUGAGUGAUUCACGGUUAAGGAACUAGGCAAAUUGACCCUGUAACUUCGGGAUAAAGGGUCCCAACGAGAGUUGGGCGCAGAGAAUAGGUCCAGGCAACUGUUUAACAAAAACACAGGGCUGUGCCAAAUUGAAAGAUUACGUAUACAGCCUGACACCUGCCCGGUGCUGGAAGGUUAAGAGGAGAUGUCAUCGCAAGAGAAGCAUUGAAUUGAAGCCCCAGUAAACGGCGGCCGUAACUAUAACGGUCCUAAGGUAGCGAAAUUCCUUGUCGGGUAAGUUCCGACCUGCACGAAUGGUGUAAUGAUCUGGACACUGUCUCAACCGUGAGCUCAGUGAAAUUGUAGUAUCGGUGAAGAUGCCGAUUACCCGCGAUGGGACGAAAAGACCCGUGAACCUUUACUAUAGCUUAACAUUGAAUUUGGGUAAUUGAUGUGUAGGAUAGCCGGAGACUUUGAAGCAGGUACGCCAGUAUUUGUGGAGUCGCUGUUGAAAUACGGCCCUUUGAUUAUUUGAGUUCUAACUCGUAGUUGCGAGGACACUGUUUGGUGGGUAGUUUGACUGGGGUGGUCGCCUCCAAAUAGUAACGGAGGCUUCUAAAGGUGCCCUCAGGACGAUUGGUAACCGUCCGUAGAGUGUAAUGGCAUAAGGGCGCUUGACUGGGAGACUAACAAGUCGAUCAGGUAGGAAACUAGAGCAUAGUGAUCCGGUGUUUCCGUAUGGAAGGGACAUCGCUCAAAGGAUAAAAGGUACUCCGGGAUAACAGGCUGAUCCCUCCCAAGAGCUCAUAUCGACGGAGG
rnacentral:rRNA from 1 species